ACUUUCUGCGAUUGCAGGAGGGUCGUCAAAGAUGCCGCCUCCAUCCUCGUUACUCAGCAGCUUGUCCACUACACAGAGAGAUGAGGUGCCUUUAUUGCUCGGUCACCUGACUCACAUCCGGCCACUCCGUCCUGCCCUGCAGUAACGCCUCUCAGCCAUUCCUGUCACCUGAGGCACAUUCAAUCUGUAAACAGUGUGCACCAUUUCACUACGGUCUUUGGGUUGAACGACUUGUGCAACAUGCUUUGAGCAGGUACUUGGCCUUCCUGUGGUAGAUCCUCACCACCCCCAGCAGCAGAUGCCCUGAUGUCCGUAAAGCCAUUUUUACCUGCGAAAAUAAGGAUAAAAAAGGUACGUGCAGAAAAGAAACGAUCCAUGAUGUUACUGUAAAAUGCAUCUGCAGCUUUUUAUAUAAACUCUGUGUCCAUAGUCCAAAUCACCA